AGGUGGAGGCUGCUUCCUUCAGUGGCCUUGCCCAAAAGGCGGCGGUGAGACUGCCAAGGAUGACACCAUUUUGGAGGGGACUGUCCUUGCGUCCUAUAGGUGCUUCAUGCAGAGAUCCCUCAGAAUGCCUCACACGACUGUGCAAGUAAUUAUCUCACAAUAAAUACAAUCCCUUUAAAACUUGUUAUCACACAAGCACCUUUUGUUUAACUCCUUCACCUUGGUUCUUGUGUAUACACGGUUUGCAUAAAUGCAAGUGAAAUUUAUUUGCAAACAAAUUUAGUCUGAAAAUUAUGCUUUUCAUAACUCCUGAAAUUCACAGCAUAGUGACACUAACAGCUGUCACGCUCUAAUUUUUAAGAAAGCUGAGAGCUGUAGCCUUUAUCCUCCAGCCACCCUCCCACCAAGAGGAGAAGCCAAUCGGAGGGUUGCUGAUGCUGGCAUGGAGUUCAGAGCUGACGGAAGACAAAGGGCACAGUGUAAGUGUGCUCUAACUCCUGUCAGCAGGCAGCACUCUCUUCCCUGCUCCAUUACGAUGUCAAGCUGCACAUCAUAAUGGAGCAGGGAAGCAGCUUGAUGGCUGCUGUCAAGCAUUACAGCACAUGCCCAUGAAUGUGUAUAUGUGUGUGUGUUUCAGAGUGUGUAUAUACGUGCAUGUAUUAGUAUGUGUAUGUCAAAAGAAGCUGCAUGGCUGCAGAAAGGGUGAUAUCAGCAAAGUCAUGGCAAUGUGACUACAUAUAUCAUAAUUAUACAAUACGUAUAUUUAUUUACAACACUGUUUCCUUGCUUGUUACUUAAAUAUUUUAUACUUAAGUUUUUCUGUCCAACCAAAAUUUGUAUUUUUGUUUCUAUUUAAUAAUGUGCUAUCUACGGGAGAUGUGCUGGCGGGAGAUUUAAUUAUUAUUCACGGUAACAUAUUUAAUUAAAUUAUUUUUAUAUAGUUUCCUCAUACUGAUCUCUUUCUAUAGAUAGGUUAUGAUACAGUCUUCUAAAAAUGUCCUGUUUGUUUUUAAUUUCAGAAACAAUCGCUGCUCUUUGCAGACGUUUGCUGAUUGAGCAAAGUUAAUUUUGGUCAAAUCUUUUUGCCCACUUAUCUGAUGUGAAAAAAAUGAAAAAAAUACGAGGAGAGGCGUCCUGGGCAAAUAUACUAACUCAUGCUAUUUAUUAAAAAAAAGAACUUUUAUAUGUCAUAUUUGUGUUAUAUGUAUUUUUGCUGGUGUAUAGGUGUUAAUACUAUGUGUUUGCUGCAUGGAAACAGGGAACUGUUUUUCAAACAAUCAAAUGUCCAUCCAGUCAAUACUGUGAAUGGGGAGGUUAAUAUAUUUACUACUGCUACAAACCUAUAACUAUCAUUGAGCUCGGUAAUAACAUCAUCUAUACUCCAGGACAUACUUGAAAUUUUAUGAAUGCUAAACCUAUUCUUUCUGGUUAAAUAACCAAUAUUAUUUCUGUUAUUUGUUAAAGGCAUGAAUAUUUAUUUUCAUGUCUUAUGCACGCCCUUGUAUUCUUACAUAAAUCAGUUGACUAUAAAAAUGCUGCUGUGUUUGUUUUUUUGAGCAUUUAUGAAUUGACCUAAACUCAGGUUCUGAUAAAGCAAAUAUAACCACUCCAACAAUGGAACAACUGAGACAUCUGGACCCCAAAUUAGGAUUGAGGGUUUUCCAAUUAAUUGGUUCUUCUUCUGAUUUUCAAUGAGCUGAGACUGGCUGAUAUAUUUCAGCAUAUCUCUGAACCUACUGGGAGUGGUGUAUUUUGGAUUUGUGCUGCCCUAGGCACGACUAAAUUCGAGCACCCCCAAAAUCAAAAUUUUCCCCCCCAGUUCUUGUCAAGGCCAUUUUUUUGACUGACAGACACAUGCCCUCAUUGAUACAUGGACUGAUAUACACUCGCUGACAGAUACACAGUCAUUGGCACACACAGUCAUUGGCACACACUGUUUAACCAACUCACACUUUCACUGACAGACACACACUCUCAGAUACACAUAAAAUGACAUACACACACUGACACACUCACAGGCACACCCAUUCUCACUCACAGACACACACUGACAGCUACACUCACUCACAGUAAGGUGGACAGCCCCAGAACACGAGGCAAACAAGGCAUUUGUCUGGGAGCUUGGGUGGCAUUUUUUGGCGCCGCCCUAGCAAAAUGCCUUGUUUGUGGUAAAUACAUCCCUGCCUACUGGCACAAAUUAGUGCAUUUGCAAGAGCAGGUUUACAAAUCUAGAUUAACUUAAAAGCUUUUGCAAUUUACAGCAACAGGUUAAAAACAAAAAGCUCAAACCAGUAUGAAGUAUGUUUGCCAUACACGAAUACCCUUUAACCCCUUAAAGACCGUAGACGUACUAGGUACUGUGGCGAACAGAACCUCGCCACAGGCUCCUGGAGGAGCCUGCUUGCCAACCUCUUGCCUCAAGACUAUGGGCCAUGCGAAAAGGCUCAUAAAAGACUUUGUUCAUGCCCUUUCUCUAUUCUGUUUGGAAACUGAACAGGUGCACAAACUAUGGACCACCUGGGAGCUUGUUAAGCUUAACUGACAGUUUGUAACACGUUCCACCGCAGUGUUCUAAUUGUUCGUCCGCAGGCAGCGGUGUUUGGUCUUCGAGUUCAUGGAGCUGAAAUCGGACGCUCUAAGGGUAUUGCAGCGAUACCUUGAUGUCGAGGCAUUCUGCAAUACCUCUCCUGACUGCCGGGUCGCAGUUUAGCAGAGUAUCGGAAACCAUCGGGCAAGCUUAUGAUGCUCUGCCUGUGUGCUAAGUGCCUCAAGCGCUCGAGGCACUCAGUGAAGGCUUAAAUAAAAUAAAUAAAAUCAAUUUAAAAAAAACGAAUAAAAUAAAUGUAUUAUUCUCCCCCCUCCCCCUCCCCCCCAACAAUGUGGCUUCCAAGAUAGCGCUGCCUCUCUAAAGGUAGUGCAUCAUGGGGGUUCUGGGGGUGUCCCUAGCCUGCCUCAUCAUAGCAAUCAGAGCUUAUCCCUAUAAUAAUAUUUAUUAUUACUAUGAUCCCCAUUGGUCUGGUCAAGUCAAUAUUAGUAAAUAUUGACUCUGAUCAGUGUGGCUCUCCCUCCCUCUCUUCACUUGUGUUUUAGUGUGAGAGAGAGGUCUGGGUUUAGGUAGAGGGAUUUAAGUAGUUUUAGGUGGGGAUUUGUAAAAUGGAGACUCCUUUCAAAGCCAUUAAUUCCAAUCUAGCCAGUAAUCACUACAGUAUAAAUCACUGGCUCACUAAAUAAAGUGUCACUGAGGUCACAGAGGUUGUAUAGCGCUGAGGAGGUGUAUACCAUCCUUGCAUUAGAGUCUGACACGUCUAUGUCUGACUCUCACCCUGAUUUUGUCCUUGCCAGGUGCUCAGAUAUAUCACUAGAUACAGUGUCUUCUGCUAGUGAUGUAGCUGUGGCUGCUAAGCCCCCUGGCAGAAGUACAUGUGCUGCUCCAGCUGGCAGUGCAGCUGAGGAGUGGGUAGAGCCUCAUCGCCAGAGGCCAGAGGCCACCCUUCACAGCAAAUCCUGGCAUCAAUGUGGAUGUCGCAGGAUUUAGCCCCCAACAGUUCAUGGAGGUGUUUCUGGGCGAUGAUGUAUUGGGGAACAAUACCCAAACUAAUUUAUAUGCCCAUCAGUUCAUGAUUCAAAGCCUGACUCUUUUUUUUGGCAAAGCAGCAAUUGGCCCUCAUCAAUGUCCCAGAAUCUAAAAAAUUCUGGGCAUUGGCUAUGCUGAUGGGCAUCAUAAAAAAGCCCUCCAUCCACUCCUACUGGAGCAGUAGCCCCAUCUGCUCCACCCCCAUUUACUCACAUUGUAUGUCGAGGAAGAGGUAUGAAAUGAUUGUACAUUUCAUGCACUUCAGCGACAACAGCCUGUGCCCUACUAUGGAGCAUCCCCAGUUUGAAAGGCUGUAUAAAAUCCGCCCCCUGAUUACCCACUUUGCUGCCAGGUUUGCAGAAGCUUAUACACCUGGAUGAAACCCUGAUGAAGUAUAAGGAAAGGCUAGGAAUUCAAGCAGUGUAUUCCUUCCAAGCACUCCAGGUAUGGUGUAAAGGUGUAUAAGCUCUGUGAGAGCGAGACUGGGUAUACUCAUGCUGUCUGGGUGUACGAGGGAAAGGAUAACCACCUUGACCCUCCAGGUUGCCCAGAACUGUAUUUCAAUUGACAGCUUUAGAACCAGUGGCAAAAUUGUCUGCGACCUGAUAUUCCCCCUGAUGAACAAAGGGUACCAUUCGUAUAUAGACAAUUUUUAUAUAAGUGUCCCUUUGUUCAAGCUAUUGUAUUGUUUUCAGUAGCUCACGGUACAAUCAGAAAGAACCGUGCAGGUUUCCCAGGACAACUUGCACGCACUCGGCUACCACAGCUCUGCACCAAGAGGAGCUGUUGGCAGUUAAGUACAGAGACAAGAAGCAUGUGUACCUUCUUACCACCAUCCACAUUAAGAGGACUGUGGAGGUCUCUGUACGUGGCAGAGCUGAGAGCACAAUGAAGCCAGUGUGCAUCAGGUCCUAUAACCAGCAUAUGGGUGGGGUUGAUCUUGUAGAUCAGCCCGACCUAAUUAUACGGAAGACAAGGGCCUGGUACAAAAAGGUUGCAAUUUACUUAAUGCAGAUUGCAACCCAUAACGAAAUAAAACUGACUUUUUUACAGUUUCAGCUUCAGAUCAUUUCGUGGAUUUUGUACCAAGAUGCACCUGCUCCCCGGGCGUUGAUGGGAGAGAGCAGAGCUGGUACUACCCACUUUAUUUUUAAAAUACCCGUUACUGCGGCAAAGCAGAAUCCUUAAAAAAGAUGCAGAGUCUGUUUUAAGAGGGGGCAGAGAAAGUACACUGUCUUUUACUGCCCUGAUUGCCCUGGGCAGCCUGAACUCUGCAUUGGGGACUGCUUCAAGCAAUAUCACAUACUGGACCGUUUUACUUUUUUUUUUUUUUACAUUUUCCGUUCGUUUUUUGGUUACGUUUACUGUUCCUGAGUUGUUGUUUUUUUUUUACUUUUACUGCACCUGACUAUUUUUAUGAUCAAGUUCAACCUAUGCAUGGGGGCAUGAGUGUACUCAGGAGGCCUUGCAGAAAACAACCUGGAGUGUUAUCUUGCAAUAACCAAAAAUAGGCUCCCCUAAAUUACUCACAAAUGUAUGUGUAAAAAUGAGAAUUGAAAAAUUACCACCACACAUUUUCUCCAAUUUUUUUUGGCUAAAACGGUUGCAUCAAAGGCAUCAAAACACUUCAUAUAUAAUACCUUGGGGUGUCAACUUUUCAAAUAUAUGCACGUUCAUGGCAAGAAAAUAAAUUGGGAUAUGUAAAAAGGCCCCCAAAAAAGAAGAUUUGUCAAUUUGAAAAACCCAUGUCAGAUGUUUGGCAUUGCACCCCCCCCAAACAACCCAACAAACCUAUGCAUAGGUGGUAUCACUGUACUCAGCAUAUGUUGCUGAACACAUAUUGUGUUCUUUGGUAGUAACCCUUAAAGUUCUCCAUACAUGUAUUCUUAAAUUGCUAUGUGUGUCAAAAAAAAUCACCAAUUAUUAUUAGUAGUAUUUUUUUAAAUUUGGCAUAGAUUGGUGGUAAAAUUGUUGCCUGAAAAGCAUCAAAAUACCACAAGUUUAAUACCUUAGGUUGUCUUCUUUUAAAAAAAUAUAUACAUGUGAAGAGUUAUUCAGAGAUUCCUGACAGAUAUCAGUGUUACAAUGUAGCUUUAGUUAAUUUUGAAAAAAAAAAUGGUUUGGAAAUAGCAAAGUGCUACUUGUAACUUGUGCCCUAUAACUAGCAAAAAAAAGCUAAGAAAAUGUUAACAUUGAGUAUUUCUAAACUCAGGACAAAAUUUUGUGUUUUUUGGCGGUUGUAGAUGAGUAACAGAUUUUGGGGGUCAAAGUUAGAAAAAUUUUGUUUUAUUUUAAUUUUGUCAUCAUAUUUAACAAAACUUUUUUAUAGUAAAGUAUAUGAUAUGAUGAAAAUAAUGGUAUCUUUAGAAAGACCAUUUUAUGUUGAGAAAAACUGUAUAUAGUAUGUGUGGAUACAGUAAAUAAGUAAGAGGAAAAUUACAGCUAAACACAAACACAGCAGAAUUGUAAAUAUAACCCUGGUCCUACAGUAGAAAAUUGAAAACCGGUCUGGUCACUAAAGGGUUAAGGUGUAUCUGUCACGGGAGACGGGACUCCUUGUACGUGUUCCCUUAAUUAUACUUUGUAUCGUCUAAUGUUUCUCUGCAUUCAAAUGGAAUUGUUCCCUUCUGUUUUGAACAGAUUCUGUGGGGUCCCCUUCUUCGCAAAUCAUGUUUAGUCUUGAUUGGAAGAUUGCUGCUUUUACCUGGUUGCAUCCAUUAUAUUGUGGAAACUCUACACAAAGGGAAUACUUUCACUAUAUUCAGCACAUCUGGAAUUAGGACUAGUGGAGAAUUGAAGGAAUAACAGAAAUAGAUUCACGAACCCGUGACAGUAUCUCUUAUGACUUGGGUUUAGUUUAUAUAUUAAACUUCAAUCUACAUAUUAUGCUAGCUAGACUACUAGUAAAUAUGAAGAAGAAAAGUUAUUUUCAUUUUAUUUAACCAUUCAAUUCUAAGUGCUAAACAUACAACACAUCUUCUUUAUAAAGGGUCAAUAAGUGUUUUGGGGUUUCAUAGAAAAUACCCCUCUCUGUCUCAUUAGAGAUUUUGCCUUUUAGGUGUAAUAAGCGAAUUGAAUUAGGACUCACCUAAGAGGUUUUGCCUUGAAGUGGCAGAUGAGCUUACACUUAAAUGACAAUUCAAGUGACACUAAAAAAGCCACCAGUUAUUUAAAUGUGUACAGGGAUUUGGGAUAGAGUGCAAGCAACAGUUUUUUGUUUCUGCUACAUAUACAGUGUCUAUAAGCACCUGGGCUUGCAGGCACCCUCCUGCAAGUGACAUGACAGCAUUCUAAUCUUCUAAAGGGCAUCUACAAGUUAAGAAUGGUAAGGCAAUGCCAUGUAUGUCAUUUAUUUGCUGGUGAUUCAAACUGAUGACAUAUCCAACCAGACAACUUCAUUAAUUUAAGUGGUCUGGGUGCAAUGUCCCUGUCCCCUUAACCAUGCAAUGUUUAUAUUGCAGCAACCAGGCAGUCACCAGAGGCUCUUCCUGCUGAUAUAUGUAGUUUGACUUUGUGAAGCAAUGCUGGACGUCCACACACUUUGCACACUUGCUGCACCUUUGGUCCCCCCCAUCAGCUGAAGUGAGCGAAGAAGGGACAUCGAUGCUGGAUGUAAAGGGUUUAUUAGCCCUUUACAUUGCUGGGGGAGAGAGGUUCUUAUAGUGUUAAGAAUACAGUUUUGUCUUCCUAACACUAUAGUGUUCCUUUAGACGUGCAAAAAAGGGGAAGGUUUGUACAAAUCAAACAAGAAAGAAUCAUGCAAAAUAUAAAAAAGUAUAAAUGAUGUAUUCUAUACUUCCAAAUUCCAUGCUGGAAAGAAGUGAGUGAGUUGUUACAGUGCAUGUGCUUUGGAAGUUAUUUAAUACUUUUCCAAGCUAUGUGAAAUGUUGAGCAUUCCUUUCAUUGAGCUUUGAGAGGAAAUAGUUUUUUUAAAAUAAUAAAAAAUUAAGUGCAUGUAAAUAAAUAUGAAAAACCAAUCACUACCUAUAUUAUAUGAAAGGAACCUUCAGGCAUAUACAUGCAAUUUCAGUCAGACAGUGUUUGUAAAAUGACUCUAUAGUCUUCCCUGCUUCACUCCUUGCACAGGAGACUACAGAGACUUUAGGUUUUCAAGUACUGCCUGACAACACUAUAUAGAGAUCAGGGUGUCUCAGAGCACAGAUGUAAUAGAGAAAGUCUUGGUGCCCAGUCAUAUGUUUGUAAAAAAGAAACACAAAAUUUAGGUGCUAACUGUAUACUUAUAAUAAAGGCAGAAAAACUCUUUAUCAGUGGCGUCUCUAGGAUUCAUUUUUAGGGGGUGGGCCAGGGGCAAAAGUAGGGGGGCACAUUUAACCCCGCCCUCACCACAGUUUAACCCCGCCCCUGCCGCAUGUUAAGCCCCGCCCCCGACACAAUGUGUUUUUUGUUUUUUUUAAUAAUCCCUGGUGGAGAAUUCAUUAUUUUCCACCAAGGAUUAUUAAAAAACAAACACAUUUCCCUUGACAUAGUCCUUACACACACAGAGACUGCUGAGUCCAUACAUGCAGACACGCAGACACACAGACUGCUGAGUCCAUACACACACACACACACACACACACAUAGACUGCUGAGUCCAUACACAGAGAUAGACUGCUGAGUCCAUACACACACAGGCAGACUGCUGAGUCCACACACACACACACACACACAGACUGCCGAGUCCAUACACACAUACAGACUGCUGAGUCCACACACACACACACACAAGCUUCCUAACUAGCAGACAGACACACACACACACACACACACACACACACGCAUACUGCUGAGUCUACACACAGACUGCUGAGUCCAUACACACACAAGCUUCCUCAUUAGCAGACAGACACACACACACACACACACACAUACAGACUGCUGAGUCCAUACACACACACAUGCUGAGUCCAUGACACACAUACACACACACAGACUGCUGAGUCCAUACUCACAGGGACACACACAGACUGCUGAGUCCAUACACACACACACACACACGCUUCCUCACUAGCUGACAGACAGACACACACACACACACAGACUGCUGAGUCCAUACACACACACACACACGCUUCCUCACUAGCUGACAGACCAGACACACACACACAGACUGCUGAGUCCAUACACACACACACAAGCUUCCUCACUAGCAGACAGACACAGACACACACACACACCUGAGCAUAUCAAGCCUACCUGUCACUGGAGGCUGUUGCUGGGCAGUCAGGCAGCCAUCUUCUGGCUUUUCCAGCAGCAGCAAGGUCUGCUGCUUAACGGUGGGGCUUAUGUGCGGGAGGCGGGGCUUAAUUUUAGGGCGGGGCCUGUGCCAGGGAAGCUUCUGAAAACACCCAGCACUGUUCCAGCUACUCUGUCCUGCAUUCCCUCGACUGUUACAGUCCAAGGGAAUAUAAUUUAAGCACAUGGCCAGCAAGUUGCUGGAAUUUGGGGGGGCACAAGGUGGUGAGACCAUGCAUGAUGUAGGGGGGGCCAUGGCCCCCUCUGGCCCCCCCCCAGCGAUGCCACUGCUCUUUUGACAAAUUGCACUAUUAUUAUUUCCUCUUUUUUCUUUUUCUGAGAUACUAGAUAUUGUGUAACGGACAAAGAUUCCACUGAAAUAUGUAUGUACAUCACUGGCGGAUCCAGGGGGGAGGCAACUGGGAAAUUCCGUGCUGUACCAGCCCUGCAAUGUGCCUUCACGGACCGGAGGGGAGAUCAGAGAUCUCCCUCCCCGGUCCGCAGGCACCAUGCGGGCAGCCGGCAGGGAGGGAGAGAGGACCCGGGAGCUCAGCCUGCAGCUCCUCUGGGUCCUUCUCUCGCGAGCACGGAACCACGGCAACGCUACGGAUCUUGCGAGAUUGAACUCUAGCCCUGGAGCAACGGGCUAGAGUUCACUCUCACCACUGUGGCCACCAGGGAUCGAGAAAUGUCCCCCUUCCCUUCUUACCUUUACUGAGGGAGGAGGGGGGACAUUUCUCAAUCCCUGGUGGCCACAGUGGUGUCCUCUAUUUUUAUAAAUUUUUUAUUUUAUUUUUUUUAUAAAAAAACCCUACCCUCCUCACCACACAUUCACACAUUGCACCCACACACACACUGCCCCCACACACACAUACACUGCCCCACACACAUGCACAUUGCCCCCCUAUACACACACUGCCCCACACACACAUACACUGCCUCCUCAUACACACACUGCCCCACACACACACACACACUGCCCCCCACACACACACACAUUUCCCCCCAAACACACACUGCACUCACACACACAUAGACUGCCCCCAUACACACACAUACACUGCCCACACACACACUUACACUGCCCCACACACAUACAUACACUUCACCCCAACCAACACACACUGCCACGUACACACAUUGCCCCCCACACACACACAUUGCUCCCAUACACACACUGCCCCCACACACACAUACACUGCCUUCCAUACACACACUGCCCCAUACACACACAUACACUGCCCCAUACACACACAUACACAUUGCCCCCACACACAGCCCCCCACACACACAUUGCCCCCACACACAUUGCCCCCCUAUAUACACACUCUGCCCCCCAUAUACACACACUGCCCCCCAAUAUACACACACAUUGCUACACACAUUGCCCCCAUAUAUACACACUCUGCCCCCAUAUAUACACACAUGCCCCCCCCACACACAUUGCCCCCAACACACACAUACAUUGCCCCCAUAUACACACAUUGCCCCCAUAUAUACACACUGCCCUCCAUAUAUACACACUGCCUCCCACACACACUGCCCCCACACACACACAUUGCCCCCAUAUACACUCUUCCCCAUAUACACACUCUGCCCCCCUAUAUACACACACUGCCCCCAAUAUACACACACACAUGGCCCCCCACACACACAUUGCCCCAACACACACUGCCCCCCACACACUGCCCCCACACCUUUCCCCACAUAGACUCCUGCCCCCAUAUAAACACACAUGGCCUCCCACACACACACACAUUGCCCCCAACAUACACAUACUGCCCCAUACACAUACUGCCCCCAUACACACACUGCCCCUACCAUACACACACUGCCCCACCAUACACAUACACUGCCCCACCAUACACAUACACUGCCCACCCAUACACACAUACACAGCCCCCCAUACACACAUUGCCCCACACACCCUACACAUUAACACACCACACUCCCCCCCACACACACUGCACCCCUCACACAUUGCACCACUCACACACACACCACUGCCCUACUACAGCCCCAUAUCCCAGCAGACCCCAGGUAAGUUUUGACUACUUACUCUGGGAGGGGGGCCCAGCACUUCUGGCACCAUAACCAUUACACAGAGCUGUAGUGGUUAUUGUGCAUGGAUUCUUUCUUUAAAUAAUCUAAAAGUGAACCUCCCAAGAUCAGGCUCUGGAUCCACCACAGAUGUACAUAUGGGUCAUGUGUAACUUUACCUAUGGGCUACAUUUUUGUUUCUGAACCAAAAAAAACAAGUAAGAGUGGAGCAGUGUGUAAAUAUUCAAAGUGACAAAAGGCAGUGUUUAGGUGAAAGACCCAAAAAACAGCUGAAGCAGCUUUGAAUAUAAAAGUACUGUAGUUAUACUUAAUAAUCAGCAGGUGGCAUCAGGUUGAACAUCCCAAAGCAUAUAUGCAGAAAAAAGUAUAUAAACAAAUAAUUGCGCAGACUGUAACUUGAAAGUAGAAUGCAACUAAGUACAAGUAGGCUUUAUAAAGUGCCAGCAUGCAAUAGGUCAAAUUAAUCUAUUAGUUGAUUUAUAAAGUGCAAAUAUAUUUAUUACAUAUAAAUCUGUGACAAUACCAAUAAAACCACUGACUCUUACAGAAUCAUGUUGUGAGCCAAACCGGCAUAUGCCGUUACUCACUGCCAGGCUUGUUAAAACGAAUAACAUCCUAUGGGGAUACGGCAGGUAGCUUCCAUGUAGCUUUGCUGUUUGAAAUGCUGUAGUCCAGCCAAAUAAUUUUAAAGCAGUCCUCUGUCACCGCUGCAAGUUUCAAAGUCUUCGCCCCGACGUAUGACGUUGACGCCUUUUAAAAAUGAUUUUUCAAAUGUGGCAGCUGUAGUGCCCACCAAAAAGGUUUUACCAGGAAUAAAUUUUUGGCCAAUAAUCAAAUAUACACCAUUAGAUAUGGUAUGACUUGCAAUUCCUGUAAUGUUAUAUGCAUGCUCACUUGUCCCUGUUGACUAAGGUACAUAAGAUGUACCUCCAGAUUACUUUGUACAAGAAUAUGUGAGCAUGUAUAUAACAAAGAGGAAAUUUGUUAAUUGGUAUACGGAGAAUAAGAGGUGAUUGGAGAGGUGGUGAUUUCAAUUAAAAAAAUAGGACAGGCAAAGAUGAAGUGGAUAUUUGAAUGUUAUAACAUGACAGGAGGCUUCAUAAUUGCUUAAGUCUCUCUUUACUAGAACUCCACGGCAGCACAUUAACAUAGAGAGAAAAAGCCAAUCACAAAAAACGUAAGGAAACCAUAUAAGGCCCCCCCCAACCAACUAUUCCCUCUUUCUUUGCUGCUCCACAUCAAGCACAGGUCAGAGUAUCACUACCUCCUUUUACUUUGGGUGGCUAUGGAUAUAUUUUUUCCAUAGUGUCCACAUAUUUUAUUCAUAUUUAAGGCAUGUUUAUUACUUAUUGUGUUUCUUUGUAUGGUGUGCUGUAUUGCUAUGCUGUGUGGGGGAUUUGAGCAGGGUUCUUCCUGAUUGGGGCUUUUUGGUGGCCUGUCCUGCCGGCUAGGGUGCAGGUGUAGCCUGUUGGCCUCACCACCCGCCCAUUGCCGACUGCCGGGACCGCGGAGGAAGACUCUGGCGGUUCCACGUGUUUCCCCGCCCGCCGGCGUCCGCCAGACGGGAGCUGUUUGCCUGCUCUCUCCCACCCUGCCCUCACUCCCGCUCACGGCAUUGGAUUGCCGCGGCUUGGACGGGGCGGCAUGGGCAGUAGUGGGAGAGCAAGCUGACCAUGUGGGAGCGGCUGCUCCUGACUGUCUCACCCUCCACUCACCCUCCCGCGACCUUGUGGAGUGCGCUGGGGGUGUAGCAGCUUAGUGCCGGCCGCUCUUAAGGGUACAGUGCUCGUUCUGUGCCAGUUAAAGGGAAAUACAUGGUACCCAGAUGGGAGAUUUGACUGCAUGAUUUUACCCCUUUCUCAGUUCCCUGUUAUGCCCAGGUCUCUGCUCUGACUGGCUCACUUUCUCUGACUGCCAGGAGACUGGUGGUGGGGGUUGCAUUUGGACUGCGCUCCCCUCUGCCGUGCAGCCUCCCUUGUUUACAUAUAUCAGUGAGAUGGCACAGUGGGUUGAUGCAUCAUCACUAGAAUCUAUUGUUGACUCAGUCCUUCAUCCUGCUGAUGUAGUUAAAGGAGUAUCAUUAAUUGGGUAGUAGUCACAUCCCCAGGACAUAUUUGGACACCAGAGUAUAUGAACGUACUUCCCUGGUACAAAGUUUGUUAAUAUGGCAUUAUCUGUGGAUUCUUACCCCUGUUUUCUACUCGCCUGACAUCCUACCCUCGGACACUUUCCCUGCUAUAUCUGAAUGGCCUGCCUUGAAGGUGCCUCUAUUUAGCCUGCGCUGUCUGUGCCCGUGUGACCGGCCUGCUUGACUGUGACUGGAUUGGUCUGCCUUGACUUUGUCCCUUGAUUGGCCUGCUUUGGUUGUGCCCCUUUGAUUGGCCUGCUUUUUCUGUGCCCCAUGAUUUGGCCUGCUCUGACUGUAUGCCUGAUGGCUCUAUACACCCACUUGGGCACUGCAUGCGCUAACUGCUUGCCUCUGCCAUUAUUAGGGGUGCUGCCCCGUUUACAUACUGGUGACACCUGUCCUCUAUACCCGUUGGCGUCUCGUUUGCCCAUGUCUCCUUGAGCACGGAGCCAUCUACCCAGGAGCAGAAUCUGCAAGCCAUGAUUACUGCAGCAGUGGCCACCUUUGUGGAAAAGGCCCUGACUAGGGCCCUCCCUCAAGCUCAACCAGAAUGGGGCGCUAGGGAGACCUCCCAUAUGGCAGACGACUCGGCUGAGUCGGACUCUCCUAGGAGAGAACAGGCAAAUGUGCAGGGGCGCUAUUAGAAGGGUGAAGGCCCUGAACCACGCUCCUGGAAAGGCAAGGCUACGGCGAAGCGUCAUGGCCCAGCGUUGUCUGCCUCACCAGCCAGACGCCGCCUGUCAGGCACGGGAGUGGUGGCUUCUAUAACCCCCCCUUAGAUGGCCAUCCUGGAUGUAUGGUAGGUGGGCCAGUUCCCCUCGGAGGAGGAAGUUGAGUGGAACAAGGACCUUGGAGAUGACCCUAAGUGGUACCAUGUAGCGGAGGACACCUCCAUGCCUGGGGUGGCGGCUACGGCCAUGGACAAAGACUCUUUCUUGGAUGCCACGGACGAACCCCUAUUCGACCCUCGGGCCAUUCGACACCCUAGAUCCUCCGCAUGGUCCCUUCCCGAUCAGUUGGCACAAUUCGUACAUUAUUGGAUCCGCAGACCUCUGGAUUGGGAGGUGCGCAGUAAACUUCGGGCUGAAUGCCCCAGACCGGUACUACUGGAUAAGGCCACCACGACCCCAGAAUUUGUCUCCCUGGUUUCUACAUACAUGACCCAUACGGGGCAUGAUCCCAAGAAGGGGUCAAGCGCAGCCUCUGUUUGGCUCAGGACAAACUACGGGACAUGCUGGGUCCCCUGUGCAGGAUGUUAAUGAUGGCUGAUGAGGCCUACCCAGAAGGGGCUAUCCUGGACCCUGCUGCCAUGCGGGACUGGGCCUUGCGCUCCAUUUGCCUGCCGGGCAACACAAAAGUGGCCCUAUCCACGGAACGCAGGAAGGCGGUCCUUUUAAGGAUGGACAACAUAUUGUCGGACUUUGGGUAAAAGGAAUUAGGCCCCUUGGCUAAAGAUCUGCUUUUGGGGGAACCGUUCAUUAUAGAACUGCACAAGCACUUUCGUGGACAAGGCGCAGACCUCCAUGUAAGGGUCUUUCGCCAGCAGUUUUCACAGGUUUUGGCAGGGCUGGACAACAGCGGGGUCACGUCUCCAGCCGCUUCUGGCUUUUGGACCAUUGAGGAUCCCGUGGACCAUCAUUCUUCAGACGUUUCAGGGAUAUGUCAUAGCUUGUCAUUUCCCUCCGACUCAGGUGCGUCCUCCACCAGUUCCCUUUGCCACAAGAGAAACAGACCCUGAUGGACGCAGAGAUUCAGGCUCUGUUCAACAAGGGUGCUGUACAGUGGUCUCCGGACACGCAAUUCUGUGAAGAGCCAUUCAGACUGUAGUGUCAGACGCACUCUGUGGUCUCCUUAUUCGAACAUCUAGGGUUCGUGGUCAUCGGGGAGAAAUCAGCUCUCUCUCCUGCCCAGUUGGUUGAGUUCUUGGGUUUCGAAGAAGACGUGUGUGACAGAACUGUCUGUCUAUUGUGGUGGAUUCGUCUAUUUCUGCCCCCUUUCGUGUAAAUGGCUGUUUCUAUAGCCCAGCCAUACGAAUGACUGUUUUCACUGAACAAAUUCACCGAACGGAUGGCCACCCAGAAGAAGAAGUGUGCUGCUGGUUAACCUCUUGAUCCCAAUUAGUGGUUGUGGUUAACCGCAGACACUUCUCAAAUAAACAAAUUCAGGGUGGUCGUCGUUCGUAUGUCGACCACGAGGCAGCGACCAUUUUAAAACCCACGAAAGCCCAGCGGUGUUUGGCACUGAUUCCAUGGAUCUAAAAACGGACACUUUUUCUGCCGAACACCGCUGAAACAACGGGUCGUCUGGCUGCCUCGACGAAAGCGUACGAACACCGGCCGUUCAGGAGUUUUGAAACACAUGAAAGGACUUAACCCAGAUAGCCUUCCCAUGGAGUCAAUCGCAUACCGAAAGACUGUAAAAACUUUGACUCCAUGGCGAUUGAACAAUGUGUGUGGGAUCUGAGCGCUAUUCACCAAUAAUAUGCACUCAGAUCCAGGCUAUCUGGGGGUAUGUGAUGCGAAUGUGAAAUGUUCGGUUAUUAUAAAGUUAUGUAUUUUCUGGUAUUGUAUUUAAGAUGGCGAUUUGUCUUUGUCCUGGAGAUAAUUGAAUUACUUCUCAAUUAUCUCCAGGGCAGAGGGGAGGAAACCAUAUUGCAUUGUGGGAAAAGCCUGUGAUUGUAUGUCUGAACUGUCCCCAUGUCCAUCUGUAAUUUCAGUCUCCCAUUUGGUCCCCUAGGGGAGUGUCCACCAAGUGGGAGACCUUCAUAAAUACGGGCAGGUAGCCCACAGUAAAGCCAGAUCCUGUUUGACCCUCAAUGCGGAGCUUCUGUCUCGUUAUUGGGGGGGGGAUUUAUUAUUUGCGUCUAGAGACUGAUUAUUGGAACUGAAAGCCGCUUGGUGGAUAUCUUUGUUCGGCGGUUAGCGGCGGUUCGUGGAUUUCUGUUUGGGAGUUUGGAACCUUUUACGGAUCCCGGUCGGGAGAUUACCACUUGUCCCUGGUUAUGGUUCGUGGAUUACAGUUUAUGCGAAUGGAUUACUGAUAUUGCGAAAGGGGAAGGUGAACUAAACGGUGGUUUCUCUUAAAGACACCAGGGGUUGUUAUGGACAGAUGAAUUAAAAUAAAAUGGCUAUUUACUAAUGUCUAUUUAUUCUGUGUUCACUAUGUUAAAACUGGCUGCUAGAGUAAAUAUUCCCUUCGCCCCCUACAAUGUGUUCAGUUGCUGUUUACUAUGUAAAUUCUUCAUCCUGAUAAGCAUCCCCCUUCAAAUCAAGCAAACCUUGUGUAAACAAAAUUCCUGUGUUAACAGCUCCCUUUACUAACUCCUCCCCCACUACCUUUGUGCCAGUUAAACAGCUAUAUGCCACGUAUAGCUAAAUGGAGGAUCAUUGGUUUAGAACUGAUAGAUACCACUCACUCCCCCUCCCAUCAUGUAUCCAAAAUUCUGUAAUGAUGACACUACAUUCUGUAGGGAGGUUUAAACAAGAGCCCCCUUUCUCUGUUAACCAAUUGGUGAAUGUAUACUGUAUGUUUAAACUGUGACGUAUUUUUGCUUUAAGAAGGAGCCCCCACUCCGGGGAAUAAAGCAUUCCUGAGUUUUUCACUGAUCAGAAACUUUGUCUCCGGUGUGAAUUACUUCUAUGGAAAGCGUGCACGCAUUAAUCAAUCAAUUUGGAAGGUGUAGAUAGACAAAUUAUCAAAGUUUUCUUUGGUCCAAAUCAGUUGGCGCACUUCCGAACAGGGACGAGAGGGUUGUUGUUAUUCUGCUCGAAGCCGUAAAAUCCCAGGACCGGAGAGGAGACCCCCAGAGAUUGAAAAAAAAAAAAAAAAGAGCCUGAUCACCUCUGCAUAUGGUAAAUGAGUAACUUACCUAUAUUUUCCAUUCUUUGGAAUUGGUCUGCACUCUGGGCCUUCACUCGGCUUCCUGUGGUUAACGUCAGACAGGUAUAUAGUAUGCCCACAUGUCCCCUUUUAUAUAGAACCUGUCACUUGUCUAUCUACAGCCUGAGUCCUGAGUGUGAGUUUUAUGUGUGAAAGUGUCUGUUUGAGAAUCUGUUUUACUUUCUUGUGAUUAUUUAAUUCAGGGUGCAAAUAUACCUGGAGUUUUUAGGCCAGAUUAUAUUAAUUAAUAUUUUAAUAUUAAUUCUUGGCGCUUCCUUUGUUGUUUUUCAUUUAAAUUCAGGUGUGCAGAAUAGCCCCUGGUGGUUAGUUUUUGUCCGAUUAAGAAUAGAUCGUGGCGUUUCCUUUGUUGUUUUUCAUUUAAAUUCAGGUGUGCAGAAUAGCCCCUGGUGGUUAGUUUUUGUCCAAUUAAGAAUAGAUCGUGGCGUUUCCUUUGUUGUUUUUCAUUUAAAUUCAGGUGUGCAGAAUAGCCCCUGGUGGUUAGUUUUUGUCCGAUUAAGAAUAGAUCGUGGCGUUUCCUUUGUUGUUUUUCCUUUAAGUUCAGGCGUGCAGAAUAGCCCCUGGAGGUUUAGUUUUUUGUCCGAUUCAUAUUAAAAAUAGAUCGUGGCGAUUCUUUUGUUGUUUUAAUAAAAAACAACGAACAAAGAGUGAAGUUGUUGUAUAUGUGCUUGAGUGUUUCUGUGUGUGAUUUGAUUUAUUAUAAGCCGGCAUUUAUUUUAAGAACUUUGUGAUUUAAUUACAUCUGUAUUUUGUGCUUUUGUCUGUGUAUGUCUUGUUAGGUACCAUAUAUGUUAAUUGUAAUCUAUACAAUUUGUAUCGUUACUCUCCUAUUCUAUCUUUUGUCCUAAGGAGAGCUGUGCUUAGGCAAUCACAUGGUUAAAAAACUUUGUGCUUGCAAGUCUUCCUCCCUCCUCCCCCCUCCUUCUUUGUUGCUUUCUCUUGCUCUGACUGCUAUGAGUAUUGGCUACAGGGGGGGUGAAUGGGUGAAAUGCUUGUAAACUCAGUGAGGAAUGUGAGGGAAACAAGGUAUAUUUGCUGGACGAAUAACCUAGUUAGGAACUUUGUGUAAUCUUGUAUAUGUUGUUAAGUAAGAGGUUAUUGGCAUGUUGGAAUAAGGAAAGUUAGAUUUUGUUGGAACAAAUGAAUUGUGGAAUUCAUAAAUGAUAUUGCAGAGAAAAGUAAAUUGCAGUUUGCAUAUAAUAGCAGCUAUUCAGAUGCUGUAUUGUGGCAAUCUUUAUACACACAAUGUGAAAUUGCCAAUAGUGAAAUUGACAAGAAAUUGUUUGUUAAUAAGAAAAAACAAAAGAUCAGAAAUGUUAUGAAACUAGUCUGUACUUACAGUGCAUUGAUUUGUAAACGUAAUGCAGGUCAAGACAAUUUAGAAUCAUCAGAAAAAGAAGUAGAUUUGAAUGGGUUAACAGAAGACAAAUCAGAUUUAAAUGAACAGUGUAACAAUGUAACAGGGAGCACAUGCUGUAAACAGUCAGAAACAGUCUGUGAAUUAGAGGAUAGAGUUGAACUAAGAAAUGAUCUUAUUUGCCAGCUUAGAAAUGAAGUUAAGCAAGUGUGUGUUAAUACAAGAAAAAUACAGACACAGAAUCUAAUCCCAGAACCAAUAGAUACUGAAAAUGUAUCCUCACAGAGUGAUUUGCAGAAAAUAUAAAUUUCAAGACAGAGCUGCAAAACUUAAUUUGAAAAUACAUGAACAAUUAAUGAAAAUUGUGAAAUGUAUUCCAGUUUAUGACACGUCAGUGGAUGCAUUUACUAAUGCUGGAAUGUUUGAGUCAAAUGUGGACAAAUACAGCCUAAAUGACGAACAAAGGAAUAGAUUGUUUAAAAUAUGGCUGCCGACUCAAAUGGCAUGUAGACUGACCACGCUUGUAAAAUUUGAGGACAAUGAUAAAAUAAUAUAUGGAAAUUAGGAGACAGACAAGCAAUGCAGCGUAACACAGAAAGUUAUAAGAAUCAGAUAACUUCAAGAGAUAUGAUCAGUUUAGGGAAUGAGCAUGGAUAUGUCUGCCAACAGAUGUACACAGGCUGAUUCCAGAAUUAAGAACAGCACAAGAAUAGAGAUCUAUGUCAGUUUAUUGUUUUAAAUGAAUUGUUAGUCUGUACUGUCUUUCAUUGUUUUUAUAUGUGUUAUAAGAAAGUAUUAGGUUAAUUAAAAUAAAAAUUUAAAUCAAGUUUGCACAUAUGGCAGAAUGAGAUACACUAAUGUAGCAGUGAGGAACAUGCAAUGUUAUGUUGGGUGUAUGCAAUUAUAUAGUAACUCCAAUCAUUUUACAGAAGAAAAAACAAUAGAUUUAUUCUUUGUUGCUUCUGAGGUUGAUUUAAAAUCUUUGAUUUAAUUCAUGAGAAUGAGAUUUUAAUAUCAUGACUGAUAAUGGAUUACUGUAUAUUGCAACGCCUGGACAUACACAUGGUUUGGAUAUACUGAAGACAAAAGGAAUAAUAUAUGGGAAUGGAUAAGGCUGAUUUACCCCUAUCCACAGCUACGCCUACUCCUAAAGUAACAUCGCGUACAUCCUUACUAUGCCCUUUUACUGUAGAAUUUCCCGAAUCCUAAUGACCAAUUCCACUACAUGGUGUGACUUGUUUAAGCCUAAGAUAAAUUGGCUGAUCAGGCUACCUGUAUUAACAAUGUCAUCAACGAUGAGUUAGCAUCUGUGGAGAAGUAUCACUUCAGGUUGUCCCAAAUUUUCUUUUAACUUAAGUUUUAGUACAUAGUAAGGCCCAUGCCCAACAACUAUAUGCAGCCUUGUAUAGCAGGCCACAUGACAUCUAUUUGUACCAAGCAAGGCCUGCCUGACUCCUCAUUCCUGUCUAACAUUGUUGUCUCCUGCAUAAGUGUAGAUGGCUCUCUUUGGAGUAGCCUGUUAACUAAGCCUUGCUUUGUGGUUACUUUCACCUGUCCAAUUAAUCUGCUAGGUGCAGAUGUCCUUCCCCCACUUGCAGGCCCCUAUCACCUUAUUAUUUAUUUUGUUCCACACAGUGAAACCUGACCAAGAGGCAAGGGUCCUAGCUAGUUCCCCCAAUACCUUUACCUGAAUUAUACAGGCCCCAAAGCCUGUCCAAGCUCUUACUAUUCCCUAACAGGUUAAGGCUCUGGUGUCGAAUGGUGCCCUGGUUACCUGAGACUUUCCAUGCAAUAUCCCACCUCUCCUUGUGAUGGACGAAUUCUGUGCAGGAUAAUGUCACCCUGCAGGGAUGAUACUCUAUUUACCUGGCCACUCUUUUGCCACUUCCCAAGGGGGGAAAUGAUAAGACACUGACUAUUAUUUUUUUUUAGCAUUUUUCUUAUGAUCUGUUCCGGAUUUGCUGUCACUACAGUGGACCAGGUAUCUCACCUCAACAAUGUCUGCACAAGAAGUUGAGCUAUAGGCUCCCAUCACAGCAUGCAAGAUCUCUGAAGGAAGACUGAUCUCGGAGAAAGCAUGUGGCAACUCUCUGGCUGACUAAGUUGUUCAAUAAGUUGUAAGUGCACUAAGGAAAGUGGACAGAAAAGUGUCUACUGAAGAAACUCCCAUAUUCACCAUGUAAGAUCCUACCCACAGACCUCAAGCUACUGACCCUGGAAAGAAAGAAAAAACAAACAAACCACAAGCUGGAAACAGAAAGGGGCAACUCUUAAAGACAGGCUGUACUUCAACAAUCUCAAGUUCUACUUGCCCAAGAACAUAUACUCAGCAGUGGGCCUACGGAGCAUCUGUCCAGAACCCUCAUGAACUCUUUUGAUCAAUAAAUACUCUGAAGUAUCAGGAAUUGCCUCUCUGACCAACAGUUACUGUAAAUCUUGUGCCAUUUGUGCCAAGGGCAACUCAGGAAGAAUGGAGCCAAAGCAUCUAGCCAAACCUCAUUAUCUCUUCCAGAGGAGUCAAGUCGACUACAUCCAGAAUGCCAAAGAAUGGCUGAUUCAACUAUGCACUAAUUAUAGCAGACAUGUUUUCAGGAUGGCCAGAGGCCUAUCCAGCCAUCAAAGUGAUAACCAAGACCACAUGCUGAGUAGUGCACUGUGAAAGUUACAGAGAUCACCCCGUGGAUUCAUCAUUCCAGAAUCAAGCCUGCCUCUGCAUUAUGUGAAGUAGCAUUUGUUGAUCUUGACAACCCUUUUUGAAACUCCAUUCUUAGAGAACAAAGAUACUUGUUGAAAAUAAAUAAAUAAAUAAAUAAAUAUCAACAAGUGGGUGUUUUGAUGGCCAUAAUAAUGCCUGACCACCUGCCAUCGAUGGAAAGCCGAAUACCCCAAAAGGGGACCUCGUGAAACUAAAGAGAAACAAACAUACUCCUUACCCUGCAGCCCUCAUGUCUGAGGUGCCAUACGCACAGUCAAAGCUUCUUCAGGAUCAUCUGCUUAUCUUGAGUUUGUGGUGAUAUUAAUAUUGAAUGUUUAAAUGAUCUGAAUCUGCCAGUACUAGGGUAGCAUGAGACAAGAUUUCUAAGAAUAAGUAAAUGUGCCCUAGCCUAGGUUAUUAUGUCCAUACACAUAACACAUGACAAUCCCCAAGGUACUCUUGACACACCUCAUUCAUGCUUCAGGACAAAAAGGAGUACCCCUAUAAAGGGUGGUUUUACCCACACAUAUAUAUAUGUAUAUUAAUGCCAUAGGGGUGUCAAGGGGGGUACCAAAUGAUUUUAAGGUAAGAAACUAAGUUUGAAUCUAUUCUCCCAAGCAUUACGGCUAAUAAAAUCUGAAUUGGAAGGGAAGAGGUUUAUACAAUAAACAGGAGACCUUUUUCUUACAGGACAUGUAUGACUCAGCUGAAUGGGUAGGUGCCACGCACAUGACUGUUAAUCACCUCAAACCACACAUUAGGACUUUAAAAGACAUGGUAGUCAUCCCAUAUUUGAGGAUAAGAGGGCUGUAGAGACAGGUUUCUCUGACACUAACUUGUGACUUGAAUGGAUGAAAUACAAUGCUACUAAACAUAACAAGUCUAACUGCUAUGUCUGCAGAGGAGCGAGGCCUCACCCAGGUACAGUAUCCCUGAACCUUCCUCCGGAUAUGAAGUAUGCGUUUUAAGUCUCUACACUGUAUUUAAACCUAAGCGGUCAGCAUGCGAGUCAUGGAAACUUAAUACCCAAUCAUUACUAAAAAUAUUAUGCCCAAACGAAGGCAUUACUAUAUAUCCUGGGAACUAUACUUGUUAUGGGAUAUAUGGUGGGAUAGGGCGGUUACAAGCUACCUCUCAGAUGACCUUCCAGAAUAGAAUAAGCUUUAAAAUGAUUUUGGCAGAAAAAGGGAGAGUAUGUAAAAUACUCCCAGACACCAUAACAUGCUGUACCUAUAUUCCAGACAAUACAGGCCCUAAUGGUAAGGUAACGUUGGCAAUAGAAAAGUUAAAGAGUUUGUCCAAUGAGCUGAAACGAAAUUCUGGGGCCACAGAUCCAUGGGAAAGAUGGUUUGGAUGGAUGACUGGAUGGCAAGGUGCUCUGGCCCAAAUAGGUGUUGCCAUUUUAAUAACGAUAAUCAUCCUCGCUCUUCUUGUUUGUUGUGUGUUACCCUGUCUUAAGAAAUGCCUACAAAAGACAGUUGAUCAGACAAUCGACCAGACCACCCCGACCUUCCUUCACCAAGAGAUUGACGACAUCGACCGUGAUACACCACAUACACCCUUACAGUCCCACCGCACUAAAUCAACAGCUACUUCCUCUUAAGGACAUUUAGGGAUAGCGUCUGUCUCUACGGGCAGAAGUCUGCCGCGGGAGAAGUAGUGGACAAGCUGCUAUGGGGUACCCGCGCAGUGAAGUGUUCGAGGCCUGUUCAGACAGAUGUGCAAGAUAGCCUUUUGUUAUUUUUCUAUAGGGACAGUAUUAGAAUGAGAGAUAGUAGUUUUAGUAAAAUUGCCAUUUUAAGGGGGGACUGUUAUGGACAGAUGAAUUAAAAUAAAAUGGCUAUUUACUAAUGUCUAUUUAUUCUGUGUUCACUAUGUUAAAACUGGCUGCUAGAGUAAAUAUUCCCUUCGCCCCCUACAAUGUGUUCAGUUGCUGUUUACUAUGUAAAUUCUUCAUCCUGAUAAGCAUCCCCCUUCAAAUCAAGCAAACCUUGUGUAAACAAAAUUCCUGUGUUAACAGCUCCCUUUACUAACUCCUCCCCCACUACCUUUGUGCCAGUUAAACAGCUAUAUGCCACGUAUAGCUAAAUGGAGGAUCAUUGGUUUAGAACUGAUAGAUACCACUCACUCCCCCUCCCAUCGUGUAUCCAAAAGUCUGUAAUGAUGACACUACAUUCUGUAGGGAGGUUUAAACAAGAGCCCCCUUUCUCUGUUAACCAAUUGGUGAAUGUAUACUGUAUGUUUAAACUGUGACGUAUUUUUGCUUUAAGAAGGAGCCCCCACUCCGGGGAAUAAAGCAUUCCUGAGUUUUUCACUGAUCAGAAACUUUGUCUCCGGUGUGAAUUACUUCUAGGGAAAGCGUGCACGCAUUAAUCAAUCAAUUUGGAAGGUGUAGAUAGACAAAUUAUCAAAGUUUUCUUUGGUCCAAAUCAGGGUGUCUUAACAACGCAUAAGAAUGUGUCCUACGUCUGCCUCUAUCCAAGAUAGCAGCCAUUCGGAAGGAGAUAAGGAGGAUCCUUUGUCAUCAUGCUAGACAUCAUGCGUUCAGCUUACUGGUCACGAGAACAUACUUUUUGCCAAUUUAUUUUUAAAAUAUAUAAUAUUAUGCUUCUUUUGCUUUGCUGUUGGAGCGUUAAAACAGCAAAUAUGAAACCUUCUGUCAUGUUAUAAAAUUGUAGAUUAUACUAGCUUUAGUGUAACUAUAAUCUUAAUUUUAUUAAUGACAGGAGGCGAAAAUUUCCCUGCCAGUUUCUCCCUUCCCUUAUCGUUGUUUGUUUUUAUUGACAUAUUUUUAGUGUUAGUCUAUUCUCAAGGAAGGUGGUAGACAGGUCUGGUAUUGUCUAUUUAGAGGAAGUCAGAGUGUGUUUUCUGGGAUGUUGUACUGUUAGUAAUUGAUUAUGGGUUUUCAUGUUUUUCCCAGUACAUUUCAUUCACUAAUCAGAGUUUCGAUUCUGUUUAUCUCGUUUCAGUUUAAUGGUUCCACUACAGGUCCGGUUUCCAGAUGUUCUGCAGGAUACAGUUCAAGGCUUCCUCUGCGGAUCCACUUUCGUUACGAGUUCGGAUGACAGUCAUUGACGAAUUUCGUUUGAUUCUUCUUCUAUUGUUAUUGUAUUAUAUCUUGUUCACGUACUUAGU